rnacentral:lncRNA from 1 species
GCACGAACGAUACUCCACAACCUGUCUCGGGCGUUUCACCUGGGCCAGUGGGUAUCCUGGUGGGACCCUGCGUUGGAUAGCCGGCGUGGAGGCGGAACAGCAAUCCUUAUACGCAGCGCACUUCUCACCAGCGGGGCAUUAACCUUCCCGGGGACACAGGCCCAACCUACGAUGUCAGGAGACGGUCGUCUUUUGCGCUUACCCAUAUGCUGGGGAGACCAUACCUUUACUUUAAUCAGUGCUUACCUUCCUAGCGCUGAUCCCCCGGCCCAAAGGACUUUUAUUCAGCAACGUCUACGGCCGCUUAUGGCGGAUGCUGGACUCCAUAUCUGGGCAGCUGACUUUAACUUUGUCAACAAUCCUGACCUCGAUGCAUCCACUCCGUCGGCACGGAGGAAUGAUGUCAACACCACGGCAGAGUUUAACGUUACUUGCCCGGGGAUGAUUGACACGUUCCGCCUAAUACACCCCCGCCGGCGUGCUUACACAUACGUCCAUCCAGCGGGAGCUUCCCGUAUUGAUCGCAUAAUGGUAUCGCAAGCCCUGGAAAUGGCAGUCUAUGGCAGCGAUACAGCCUCAGGGACUCCAGCGGAUCACCGGAUCACCCACACUACCAUCCGGGCAGCCAAUAGUACGCACACACCAGGACCUGGCCUACCCCGUACUAGGCUUCACUUCCUGGAUCAUGAUGACCUAUGUGCAAACUUAAAUAUGUGGGUAAAUAACACGGCAGAAUCAGCCCCCACGCACCCGGACGACCUCAUCCAAUGGUGGCCAGGCUUCAAACGGGCGCUGGCCCUAUCAGCUGGCCGCCUAAACCAACAGGCACGCAUGCGUCAGCUAAUUGGAGCUGCAGACGAGGCUGCUGCCCAAGCCCAGGCCGAC